GAUCUUGCGUCUACGGCCUGCGCGCCUUGCGUAAGGCUGAUGGCUGGUGGCUGGAGCCACCGGCCU
rnacentral:sRNA from 2 species